rnacentral:rRNA from 1 species
AUGAACGCUAGCGACAGGCUUAACACAUGCAAGUCGAGGGGUAACAGGGUAGCAAUACCGCUGACGACCGGCGCACGGGUGAGUAACGCGUAUGCAACCUGCCUAUAACUGGGGAAUAGCUCCCUGAAAGGGGGAAUUAACACCGCAUAAUACUAUUGAUUCGCAUGGAUUAGUAGUUAAAUGUAGCGAUACAGGUUAUAGAUGGGCAUGCGUGACAUUAGCUAGUUGGUGAGGUAACGGCUCACCAAGGCUACGAUGUCUAGGGGUUCUGAGAGGAAGGUCCCCCACACUGGUACUGAGACACGGACCAGACUCCUACGGGAGGCAGCAGUGAGGAAUAUUGGUCAAUGGGCGCAAGCCUGAACCAGCCAUGUCGCGUGCAGGAAGACUGCCCUAUGGGUUGUAAACUGCUUUUAUAGUAGAAGAAACACAUCUACGUGUAGAUGUCUGCCAGUAUACUAUGAAUAAGCAUCGGCUAACUCCGUGCCAGCAGCGGC